AAGUGCAAGAUACCAUCAAUAAUGCGCUGAACACUCUUCUGAAUGAACCUGGAAGUCCAACUUUACAACCCAAAUCAUCAAACUUCAAGAGUACAUUAAAUCAGAUCGAGGGCAUUAUGGUAUACAACUUCCAAGAUACUGAUUUUAAUAAA